UUAGUGCAACCAUAAUGGAGCACUGCGCCUUUGAUCAUCAGACAUCAUUAGUUGCUAGAGAAGAAAGUAGACAAAAAGGAGCCUGAAAUGCACCAUGGACAUGAAAUUGUCUAACACAGGCUUUUCACACUUCAAAAACUCAAGUCAGGAUGGAUCAGUGUAUGUUAUGUUGUACGCUAUUGGAAGCAUUACAUAUUAGAGAACUUUAGAUGGAGAGAUGGGUUUUGAAAAAUUUUUCAGUCGCUUAAUUAAACAGGUGUUGUGAAUAAGAUACUGCCACUCUCAGUAUUAUUCUAUGACUUUCAACUCUGAGGACAUAAACAGAAGCGAUCUUGUUAAUGGCUGGUUCUGUUCCUGAAACCAAGAUGAAGUAAAGAAAAUGCCAAGCUGGAACGUCUGGCUAUAUUCAUCAAGCCCUCUACACAUUUUCCCUUCCUUUAGAAGAAGAUAUGCUCUGUUGCAAAUUGCACUAUCUUUUCUUUUACACUCUGUUUGGAUAAACAAUUAGGGAGGAAGGAGAAUCAAAGAAGGAAAUUUUUUCUUAUUUUUCAUUACUUAUUUUCUCUUCUUAUGUUUAGAUAAGUAAAAAAAAUAGAGGAUGAAAAAUAAAAAAUAAUAAAAUAAGCUACUUUAACUCUUUGAUUUCUUAUUUUCUCUCCAAAUUGGAGAG
rnacentral:misc_RNA from 1 species